AGAAUGAACGCUGGCGGCGUGCUUAACACAUGCAAGUCGAGCGAGGCCAGGGGGGCAACUCCCUGAGUCGAGCGGCGGACGGGUGAGUAACACGUGGGUAACCUACCCGGAAGUGGGGAAUACCUCGGGGAAACUCGAGCUAAUACCGCAUAACAUCUUCGGGACGAAAGUCCUGACGAUCAAAGCGGGGUCGCAAGAUCUCGCGCUACCGGAUGGGCCCGCGCCCGAUUAGCUAGUUGGUGAGGUAAUGGCUCACCAAGGCGACG
rnacentral:rRNA from 1 species